GCGCGUCUCCCCCCCGAUCCCCUCCCCUCCUCCUCUCUCUCUCGCACAACCACCGCCACCACCACCCUCUAUGCCCCGCACGCACCCCUCUCCCCUCCUCUCUCUCGCACACCCACCGCCACCGCCGGCGUCGAUCUGUCGUCGAUUCCCAUCUCCAGAUCGACGCCACUAGCGCCCCCUCACGCCGCAAGAACGCUGUCGCCUCGGCUCAUCGAUCUCCGACAACGCCGCCGCGCGCCGCCGUCGAUCUCCGCCGCAAGAACAACGUCGCCCCGCCUCACCGAGCUCCUCCGACGAUAUUCCGCGUCAAUUAAUCUUCAGAGCAAUAAGGGACAUCAAUUUCCACCUUGCUGAUAUCGCGGCACCGUUGAUACCGGUCACCGGAGAGCGUCUAUUUCACCUGCACUGCUCCUGUUGUCAUCCACGACCACACUGCAUCAAUGUCCUCGACCUCUACCUGUCGCUGACGACCAUCCAGGAAGGUCGCCCUCGCAGCGUUCUAAGCUGGGUUCCGUCCGUGCCCACCAUUGAGGUAAACUACUAUAUAUAUAGUUCUUAAAGUUUCAUAAUUUACACAAUGGUGUUAGAUUGCUGGACAUGAUCUGGUUUGCCACCACUGCCCAUGCAGUAGUAAAUAUAUCAAUGUCCUGACAAGAUAUAGUAUCUGAUCAGGUUUGCUACUCUACUCAAUGGGACUUGAAAAUGUUGUGAAAUCUCUUUCAAUUGCUGGUAGAAGCCUGGCAUUAUGCAAUUUUAUUAAUAUGGUGCAUAGAUUGAAGGAGCUAUUUCUUUUCUCCCUGCAGAUGCAAGCACUGACACAAUAUUCUUGCAUUUUAAACACAUUAUUUAUUUUAUUGCUGGGUCGGGAGAAAAAUUUGACGGACCAGAAAAAUCCCCAAAAUGAACUUUAGUUUUUAAGUCAAAUAUUUCUAGAAAACCAACUUCAGACAACUUUGCAACUGAUAGGACAUUAAUAGAAAAUUGAGACAUUGUGUUGUGGUCAAGAUCAAGAGACUUUCUAAACUACCGUGCAUUUUUUUUACUAGAUAAUGCAAGAUUUUCAUUUCUUGUAAUUUUGACAGCCAUUUUGUCCAACUUUUCAGAAUAUCAGAUUUUAGGCCUUUUAAGGUUUGUUUUCUGGUCACAUUCUAUGUCUCAUAUUUUCCAUCACAAUUUUGUCCCGAACUUUUUGGAUCCCGCCUUUCUGUUUCUGUAGGUAUUUGACAGCAUUUUGAUGCUUCGCUACUUCAUGGACCUUUGCAUGACCUUAUUCAACAUGUAAUAAGUACUACCACAACGCAUUUUAUUUUGAUGAUGACUGAGCUAGGCUACUUUUGAGUUACUCACAUUUGGAUCUACAAUUCUGCUGAUCUAAAUAAUAAUUGCUAAUGUAACAGCAGUUCCAGGAGAAUCUGACUUAGCAGAUGUAAAUAUGUUUCUAACAUUAUAUGAGAUUUUCUUUUUAUGCGUAGCUAUGCAAGCCACAACUGAGUUCCUAUACACCAUUUCUCACCCAAAAGUUGUAAGAACUAGGAGGCACUUCAAGUUUUGAAGUUAAUUUGAGCAGAAUUUGUCUCCUGGAUAUAUAUUUUUUGGAGUAAUAAUCUAAUCCUUUUUGAAAGGUGUA